ACGGGAGGCAGCAGUGGGGGAUAUUGCACAAUGGAGGAAACUCUGAUGCAGCAAUGCCGCGUGAGGGAAGAAGGUCUUCGGAUUGUAAACCUAAGUAGACAGGGACGAUAAUGACGGUACCUGUAAAGUAAGCUCCGGCUAACUACGUGCCAGCAGCCGCGGUAAUACGUAGGGAGCGAGCGUUGUCCGGAAUUACUGGGUGUAAAGGGUGCGUAGGCGGGUCUGCAAGUCAGGUGUGAAAUACCGGGGCUUAACUCCGGGGCUGCACUUGAAACUGUGGAUCUUGAGUGAAGUAGAGGUAAGUGGAAUUCCCAGUGUAGCGGUGAAAUGCGUAGAUAUUGGGAGGAACACCAGUGGCGAAGGCGACUUACUGGGCUUUAACUGACGCUGAGGCACGAAAGCAUGGGGAGCAAACAGGAUUAGAUACCCUGGUA
rnacentral:rRNA from 3 species